rnacentral:rRNA from 1 species
GACGAACGCUGGCGGCGUGCCUAAUACAUGCAAGUCGAGCGGACUAAUGGGAGCUUGCUCCCGUUAGUUAGCGGCGGACGGGUGAGUAACACGUGGGCAACCUACCUGUAAGACUGGGAUAACUUCGGGAAACCGGAGCUAAUACCGGAUGACAUAAAGGAACUCCUGUUCCUUUAUUGAAAGAUGGCUUCGGCUAUCACUUACAGAUGGGCCCGCGGCGCAUUAGCUAGUUGGUGAGGUAACGGCUCACCAAGGCGACGAUGCGUAGCCGACCUGAGAGGGUGAUCGGCAACACCGGGACUGAGACACGGCCCAGACUCCUACGGGAGGCAGCAGUAGGGAAUCUCCCGCAAUGGACGAAAGUCUGACGGAGCAACGCCGCGUGAGCGAUGAAGGCCUUCGGGUCGUAAAGCUCUGUUGUUAGGGAAGAAUAAGUGCUAGUUGAAUAAGCUGGCACCUUGACGGUACCUAACCAGAAAGCCACGGCUAACUACGUGCCAGCCGCCGCGGUAAGAC